rnacentral:rRNA from 1 species
ACUGUCGGUCACACUGCGUCAGAAGCGCCGGGUCCCUUCAGCACUUCAAAGCUAAGCGGCGCAUGGCCCGGUCAGGACUUGGGUGGGAAGCUCCCAGAGAAUACAUUUGGGUGCUGACAACC